UACGUAGGGUCCAAGCGUUAUCCGGAAUCACUGGGCGUAAAGCGUGCGUAGGUGGGAACUUAAGUGAGAUGUGAAACCGUGUGGCUCAACCAUACGUUGUGUCUCAUACUGGGUACCUAGAGGACGGCAGAGGCAAGUGGAAUUACGAGUGUAGCAGUGAAAUGCGUAGAUAUUCGUAGGAACACCAAUGGCGAAGGCAGCUUGCUGGGCCACUCCUGACACUGAGGUACGAAAGCGUGGGGAGCGAACAGG
rnacentral:rRNA from 1 species